ACAUUUUCCUGGGCAUCUGUGACCAGUAAGAACCUUCCACCCAGUGGAGCUGUUCCAGUUACUGGGAUACCACCUCACGUUGUUAAAGUACCAGCUUCACAGCCUCGCCCAGAGUCUAAGCCUGAAUCUCAGAUUCCACCGCAGCGGCCUCAGAGGGAUCAAAGAGUUCGAGAACAACGGAUAAAUAUUCCUCCCCAGAGGGGACCUAGACCAAUCCGUGAGGCUGGUGAGCAAGGUGAUGUUGAACCCCGAAGAAUCGUGCGACACCCUGACAGUCACCAACUCUUCAUUGGCAAUCUGCCUCAUGAGGUCGACAAAUCAGAGCUUAAAGAUUUCUUUCAAAAUUAUGGGAAUGUGGUGGAACUGCGCAUUAACAGCGGUGGGAAAUUACCCAAUUUUGGUUUCGUUGUGUUUGAUGAUUCUGAGCCUGUCCAAAAGGUCCUUAGCA